CAGUGAAAUUGAACUCGCUGUGAAGAUGCAGUGUACCCGCGGCAAGACGGAAAGACCCCGUGAACCUUUACUAUAGCUUGACACUGAACAUUGAGCCUUGAUGUGUAGGAUAGGUGGGAGGCUUUGAAGUGUGGACGCCAGUCUGCAUGGAGCCGACCUUGAAAUACCACCCUUUAAUGUUUGAUGUUCUAACGUGGACCCGUAAUCCGGGUUGCGGACAGUGUCUGGUGGGUAGUUUGACUGGGGCGGUCUCCUCCUAAAGAGUAACGGAGGAGCACGAAGGUUGGCUAAUCCUGGUCGGACAUCAGGAGGUUAGUGCAAUGGCAUAAGCCAGCUUGACUGCGAGCGUGACGGCGCGAGCAGGUGCGAAAGCAGGUCAUAGUGAUCCGGUGGUUCUGAAUGGAAGGGCCAUCGCUCAACGGAUAAAAGGUACUCCGGGGAUAACAGGCUGAUACCGCCCAAGAGUUCAUAUCGACGGCGGUGUUUGGCACCUCGAUGUCGGCUCAUCACAUCCUGGGGCUGAAGUAGGUCCCAAGGGUAUGGCUGUUCGCCAUUUAAAGUGGUACGCGAGCUGGGUUUAGAACGUCGUGAGACAGU
rnacentral:rRNA from 1 species